rnacentral:rRNA from 1 species
UCUUUUUGAUUUUUAUAUAAGGUUUAAUCUGCCCAAUGAAUAUUUUAAAUGGCUGCGGUAAUUUGACCGUACAAAGGUAGCAUAAUCAUUAGUUUAUUAAUUGUAAACUGGAAUGAAUGAUUGGACAAGAGAUUUACUGUUUCUGGCAUAUUAAAAUGAAUUUUAUUUGUUAGUGAAAAAGCUGACAUGAGCAUGAAAGACGAGAAGACCCUGUAGAUCUUUAUACGAAAUUAUAAUAAGGUGUUAUUUAGUAGUAGGGUAUUUAGUUGGGGUAAUUAUAUUUAGAAAAUGGGUUUAUAAAUUAAUAUAGAAUGAUAAAAUUUUGACCUAUUAUUAUAGUUGUAUGAUUAAGAUACCUCAGGGAUAACAGCAUAAUUUAAUUUAGGAGUUCUAAUUUUAGGUUAAGUUUGUGACCUCGAUGUUGGAUUAAGAAUA